rnacentral:rRNA from 2 species
GGACUACAAGGGUAUCUAAUCCUGUUUGAUCCCCACGCUUUCGUGCCUCAGCGUCAAUAAUUGUGUAGCCAGCUGCCUUCGCAAUCGGUGUUCUAUGUCAUAUCUAAGCAUUUCACCGCUACAUGACAUAUUCCGCUAACCUCCACAACAUUCAAGACUUAUAGUAUCCAUGGCAGUUUCCGAGUUAAGCUCAGAGAUUUCACCACGGACUUACAAGUCCGCCUACGCACCCUUUAAACCCAGUGAAUCCGGAUAACGCUUGCACCCUCCGUAUUACCGCGGCGGCUGGCAC